GAGAAGAGUACCCGCAAGCAAAGAUUCUUUGGUACACUCUACCCAGUAAUGAUCAGUUUCUGUCUCCAAAAAUUCAUCCGCUCCGCCAUUGCAUUGCCCCUCCGCCGGACUUCAGCUCCCCCAUUGCUCGCAAAUCCUCGUCGUCGUCUCCGCAAUUCCAUUCGUCGCGGUUCCCACGCGGGGACUCGGGUCGAGAUGGACGAAAAUGUGCCGGCAAAGGCUUCCAUUAACAUGGUCGUUGGUGACCGGGAUUUGCUUGAGAAGAAGAUUGCUGCCAUUCGCAUGGCUGGCCCUCAGAAGCUCCAGGUGAUUGCAGAUUUUGAUGCAACUUUGACCAGAUACUGGGUUGAUGGCCUCCGGGGGAAUUCCAGUCAUGGCCUUCUGCAACAGGGUAACCCCAAAUAUGAUGCCAAGAGGCAGCAACUGUAUGAGUAUUACCAUCCAUUGGAAUAUUCCCCCACAAUUCCCAUUGAUGAGAAGACAAAGCUCAUGGAAGAAUGGUGGGAAAAGACGCAUGGCCUUCUUGUCGAGGGUGGCUUAACAUAUGAUGCCAUCCAAAAGUCGGUUGCUAAUGCUAGAAUUGCUUUUAGGGAUGGUGUGGUUGAACUCUUUGAGCUUCUUGCGAAGAAAGGUAUCCCGGUUCUUAUAUUUUCUGCAGGGCUGGCAGAUGUAAUAGAAGAGGUCUUGAGGCAGAAACUUCACAGAUCUUUUACAAACAUUAGAAUUGUGUCCAACAGAAUGGUUUUUGAUGAUGACGGUCGCCUCGUAUCUUUCAAAGGGAGGACUAUUCACAGUCUAAACAAAAACGAGCAUGCUCUUGAUAUGGCUGCUCCUCUUCAUGACACAUUGGGUGAUAAUGAUGGUCCUGUUAAUGAUAAUGCUUCUGUAAAGAUGAGAACCAAUGUCCUGCUCCUUGGUGAUCACAUUGGAGACUUAAGGAUGUCUGAUGGUUUGAAUUAUGACACUCGAAUAUCUGUGGGCUUUUUGAAUGAUAACAUUGAAGGCUCAAUUGAUUGCUAUUCUAAAUCCUUUGAUGUGGUUUAUUUGAAUGAUGCUCCCAUGUCGGGGGUAGUGGAACUUGUUGCUCAGCUUUUUCCCACAGAAUGAAACUGAAUGCAGCAUCAAACUAUUCUUCAGCCAGUCUCGAGUUUUUCUUCUGCUGGAGGCCAUCUCAGGACCUGCAGCCUGUCGGCCCGGAAUCGUUGAAUUCCUACAAAGCGGACAACUCCAGUGAGCCCUAAGCCAUGGAUCCACACACUUCACAUGAUAGAAGUGGCCACACUCUGGAAGCAACCUUAGCAGAUCAGAUGACCUAAAAUCCCCCAGACAUAUGGAACAAGAUGAUGAACUUCCGGACUUACCCAUCUGGUGUUUCAUGCGGGAGUAUGGAAUCUGCGGGUACCUUAACAAUGUCGCUAGAAUGAUUCCCUCUGGGAUUGAGACUACCAUCCGCUGAUUGGACUGAGAGCGAUUAGCUCGGCGAUAGAAUUGGACACAGAGUGAGCACACAAUGAAGAUCGCUGCGGUUACUCCCAUGAAGCAAUUGACAGGAUACAGCUUGUGGGAGGCAAACAAAUGGAUUCCAAUUGCAGAUUUGUUUGAGUGUACUGCAGGAAAUGAAACAUGCAUCCUUGUAUUGAAUCUUGAGAAUACUGUAGAUGUGGAAGGAUAGAUGUUGGGGGUUCGGAGUUGGCAAGGGAGGGAAGGAGCUAAUUUAAUAGAGUUGAUUACGUUAUGUUCGAUACUUGCAAGACUUCUGCCAAAGCUACUGUUUAAGCCCACGCUGGUUCCGUGUCUAAAAA